rnacentral:rRNA from 1 species
GACGAACGCUGGCGGCGUGCUUAACACAUGCAAGUCGAACGGAAAGGCCCUGCUCUUGUGGGUUGCUCGAGUGGCGAACGGGUGAGUAACACGUGAGUAACCUGCCCUUGACUUUCGGAUAACUUCAGGAAACUCGGGCUCAUACCGGAUAUGAGCUCCUGCUCCAUGUUGUUCGAUGGAAAGUUUCGGCGUUUCUGGAUGGACUCGCGGCUCAUCAGCUUGUUGGUGGGGUAGUGGCUUACCAAGGCUUUGACGGAUAGCCGGCAUGAGCGGGUGAACGGCGACAAGGGUACUGAGAGAGGGCGCAGAAGGCAACCGGACGCAGCAGUGGGGAGUAUGGCAGAGUGAGGCGGAGUGUGAGGCGGAGACGCCGCGUGCGGGAUGACGUGUUUUGGGUUGUGAACCGCUUUGGACUGAGACGAAGCGUGAGUGACGGUAAUGGAUAAAGAAGCACCGGCUAACUACGUG